AUGCAGGAGAGCCAUUGCUGUGGAUUGAAUGCUUGGCAUAGACACAUCAAGUAUUCAAAGAUAAUCAAAGAUAAAGGCACGAGGCACACGUUACCAGUCAGAAUGGAUUUUGAUCAACCUUGACUGUCUUGUCUGCUAGUCUUUCUAUACAGAAUAAUCAUUUAAUGUAAUUUUAUAGGUAGGUAUAAUUAUUUGAGAGAGAGAGAGAGAGAGAGAGCAACAAUACGUAGAACUUACAUUAAAAAAUCUGACACAAAAUUAAGAUGAUAUACAUAAAGACAAUAACAGCAACAAAAAGAAGAAUAAGAAACACCACCUGUAUAUAAAUUUAAAUCCCCGAGUUGUCACGCUUGUCGCCAUCUUUAAGUGUCCAUAUUGGCAACAUGGCGGAGGGGAGAUAAGUCAGGAGCAGCCGGUCUAACAUUUUACCAUUUUCUGCUAUUCUUGGACCAUCGUGAGGCAAGAACAGGCUGCAAGAUGAAUUAUUAACAUCCGUAGGAGUCUUGAGUGUCCUGCAGGAGGUAUUCAAUUCUGCUGCCCAAAUCAGCAAACUUUUUUUGAGUUGUGAAGAUGUGAAUCUGCUGAGUCCUCUUACAAGGAUUCUCUAUUAUGUCUGGUGUGAUACGUGUCAUUGAAGCCAAGCAGGACUGCUGAUUCCUUCUAGCAAGCCUUGAAAGAUUCUGCAACAAAAAAAUGGAAAUGAAAGCAAUUUUUGAAGUUCAGAUGGAAUACUGUGUUGUUUUCACAACCAUGUGUCUGGCAGCUGUGUACCAUACAUGUUGCCACCUAAGCUGGCAAUACCCCCAAAAUAGGCUCCACCCAAAAGUUUUUGGCAGCACAUCAAAGUGGGACUGGUACAGCUUGAGCCACAAGUAAAUAUGAAGUUCCUGGUGAAGCUUGGAAAAUCACCUCAAGAUGCUGAAAGAAGUCAUAGAAUAGGUAAUGCUCUAUACUUGUGUCUGAGGAGAGAGCUUGGAGUCAGGACAAUCUUCAACUGCAAAAACUGAUCCUUGCUUUGAAAAGUUAAUGAGCAAGUGUACACAGACCAGAGAUCACCAUAAGGGAGGUGGCAGAUAUUCUCAAAACUAGCAAUGAAACUGUGUCAAGAUAGUGCCCCAGUUUUUACAGUUGAAGGUCAUCAUCCUAACUUCAGGUUGCCUUCCACACCUUUCUGACCCUCUCUGAACUGCUUGUGCCAUCCAGACACAUGUAAGGGUCAUUGUCUCUUUUACCAGGAGCUUCAUGUUCACCUGCUCAUGGAUCAUGCUGUGCCAAUAUUGGUGACAUGCAGUGAACAGGGGCAGUGUGGAAAGAGACACAAUGAAAGAAUUAACUCUUCCUGCUCUUCAGUAUUCUUAAUAUUUUGUUCAACACAGAGACAACUGGUUAAUCAAAAAAAUGCUCUAAGAGUGGUCUAAACAAACUUGAGUCCUGUACCUUUUUGCUCCCCCCCCCUCUCUCAGACCCCAGACCCAUAGAAUGUCACCCACAGUAUGUUUAUGAACCACAGUCACUCACAUUCCA